CCUACGGGAGGCUGCAGUGGGGAAUAUUGGACAAUGGGGGGAACCCUGAUCCAGCGACGCCGCGUGAGUGAAGAAGUAUUUCGGUAUGUAAAGCUCUAUCAGCAGGGAAGAAAAUAAUGACUGUACCUGACUAAGAAGCCCCGGCUACAUACGUGCCAGCAGCCGCGGUAAUACGUAGGGGGCAAGCGGAAUCCGGCUGUACGGGGUGGAAAGGGAUCGUGGGCGGCCAUGCACGUCAGAGGUGAAAGGCGGGGGCCCAACCCCAGGACUGCUUUGGAGACUGUAUGGCUGGAGUGUAGGGGAGGUAAGUGGAAGUCCUGGUGUAGCGGUGAAAUGCGUAGAGAUUAGGAGGAACACUAGUGGCGAAGGCGGCUUACUGGAAUGUAACUGACGCUGAGGCUCGAAAGCGUGGGGAGCAAACAGGAUUAGAUACCCCAGUAGUC
rnacentral:rRNA from 1 species